GCGAGUUCAGCUCUCUAAAACCAUUGUGAAAGCGCCUACAGUGUUGCUUCGGCGGGGUCACACCCGCCGGCAGUACCAAACUCUGCAAUUAUUGUAUCUCUGAGUAAACUUUUAAUAAGUCA
rnacentral:misc_RNA from 1 species